rnacentral:lncRNA from 1 species
GGCAGCGGGAGGUGGGGCUGCUGACGUCGCCAUCUUGUUGAGGGGCGCGGCCGGCUUGGUGCGGACAUGUUUAUGAGGGGCAACCUCUCGCUUGAGGUCUCAGCCUAGAUCUGUGUUCUCUUCCUGGUAGAGACAUUGAGUGAUGGAGCUGGAAGGGGACUGAGAUACCAUCUCGCCUGGCUGCCUGACUGAGGCCCACAGAGAGAGAGUGUAGUAAAUUCUGUCUGAACAGGAAGCAGGCUGUUGAACAGUUGCUUAGUGCAGUUCUCAGCUUAACACCCAGCACAGGAAAAACUGAUUCAAGAACAUUGUCCAUCAACUGUCAAUCAACAUUUAUUGUCAGAACUCUCUUCACAGCAUUGGUUCCAAUCCCAGAAAAACCAGACUCUGUGCUUCCCAAUUAUCACAGGCACCGGCCCAGGGGAGAUGAGAAGAGGAAGAAAAACACUGUGUUCUUUGAGAAGUGGCUCCUUCUGCAUUUGUUUGGCACCAAGAAAAAGCCACAGAGAUCUGGGUGUGCCUCAUGUCGGUCCCUUGUCCAUGAAAUGAUGGGCAAUCUGUUGUCUGUCUUUCUGAAGAGCCUCAUGUUUUCCCAACCAAACCUUGUCUCACAGGAGAUGCCCUCUCCACCUGUCUACGUGUCCUUCCUGCUGAGACCAUCAAUGACGGGUUUCCUCUGCCCCAGACAUCGCAGACAAUAGUGACCUGUGUGGUGUCAGGGAGGAUGCAAGCGCUCCAGGUACCCCACUGAGGUCCUUUCAUCCCCCUGGCACAUACGAAGACCCAGCUUGGAUUCCCAUGGAGGCUGUUUGCUGAGCCUUAGAGCGGCUUGACUUGCCUCCGUGUUGGAAAUUCUGCCCGUGAGCAGAUGGAUUACUGUGGGCCAGCUGUCUGUCUGUCUGUCUUUAUUACCCCAGGGAGCUGUGGUUCUGAACCUCCUAUUUGGGGGUUUUAGAACUAAGUGUUUCAGGGAAGUAGAACAUUGCAUUGACAGACAGGAGAACUGGAGUCGUUCCUGGCUAGCCCAGGUUCUCACUGCAUGACCUUGGGCAAGUCAAGCCUCCUCUUUGGCUAUCAAUUUUGUCUGCUCAAUGGGUACAGUGGGGAGAACGAGACAGUAGCCCUAGGCUCCUGUUUUUCAUGACCUUGUUAUUUGUAAGGUAUGCAGACAUAAAGCUUCCUCGUUAUCUGUAAGGGAGACAAAUAAAGUAAGAACUAACGAUUACCUCAAGAUCUCUUUAAUCUAGUUAGAGCGACAGACUGACAACAUGAAAUAGUGCAUGCCAGACAUCAUAUAAUUAAAUGCCAGCUGUCUGGUACUCGCUAUUGUUGCAUUUGGAGUACAGAAAAAAGAGAAUGGGAUGGGUAUUUGGAGGUGGCUUUGUGGAGGCUAUGGGUCCAGGAGGACAGGUGAGAUUGCGUCAGGCAAAGAUGCAGGAGAGGGCAUCCCAGGGGGGAACCCACAG